rnacentral:rRNA from 1 species
AACGAACGCUGGCGGCAUGCCUAACACAUGCAAGUCGAACGAGACCUUCGGGUCUAGUGGCGCACGGGUGCGUAACGCGUGGGAACCUGCCCUUACGUUCGGAAUAACUCCCCGAAAGGGGUGCUAAUACCGGAUAAUGUCUUCGGACCAAAGAUUUAUCGCCUUUGGAUGGGCCCGCGUUGGAUUAGCUAGUUGGUAGGGUAAAAGCCUACCAAGGCGACGAUCCAUAGCUGGUCUGAGAGGAUGAUCAGCCACACUGGGACUGAGACACGGCCCAGACUCCUACGGGAGGCAGCAGUGGGGAAUAUUGGACAAUGGGCGAAAGCCUGAUCCAGCAAUGCCGCGUGAGUGAUGAAGGCCUUAGGGUUGUAAAGCUCUUUUACCCGGAAUGAUAAUGACAGUACCGGGAGAAUAAGCUCCGGCUAACUCCGUG